CACGCUUCUGCCUUUGGCUAAGAUCAAGUGUAGGUAUCUGUUCUUAUCAGUUUACAUCUGAUACGUCCCCUAUCUGGGGACCAAUAAGUAUUAAAUUGAUUUUAAACAGGGAGAUGGAAUAGCGCUGUUCAUUCAAUUCCACUUAUCUAAUCUGGCAUUGCACUUCCAGGAGCGUGCACUUUCU